UGCAUCGGAACGUAUCCUGUAAUGGGGGAUAACGUAGCGAAAGUUACGCUAAUACCGCAUACGCUCGAGAGAGGAAAGUGGGGGAUCGCAAGACCUCACGUUAUAGGAGCGGCCGAUGUCCGAUUAGCUAGUUGGUGGGGUAAAGGCCUACCAAGGCGACGAUCGGUAGCUGGUCUGAGAGGAUGAUCAGCCACACUGGGACUGAGACACGGCCCAGGCUCCUACGGGAGGCAGCAGUGGGGAAUUUUGGACAAUGGGCGAAAGCCUGAUCCAGCCAUGCCGCGUGCGGGAAGAAGGCCUUCGGGUUGUAAACCGCUUUAGUCCGGGAAAAAGGGGUGCGAGGAUAAUACCCUCGUGCUUUGAUGGUACUGGAAGAAUAAGCACCGGCUAACUACGUG
rnacentral:rRNA from 1 species